AUACGUAGGUGCCAAGCGUUAUCCGGAUUUACUGGGUGUAAAGGGCGUGUAGGCGGUUUAGCAAGGCAGAAGUGAAAUUCCCGGGCUUAACUUGGGCGCUGCUUCUGAAAAUGCUUUACUUGAGUGCUGGAGAGGAUAGUGGAAUUCCUAGAGUAGUGGUAAAAUGCGCAGAUAUUAGGAGGAACACCGGUGGCGAAGGCGGCUAUCUGGACAGUAACUGACGCUGAGGCGCGAAAGCACGGGGAGCAAACAGGAUUAGAUACCCUGGUAGUCCGUGCCGUAAACGAUGAAUACUAGGUGUAGGGGGUAUCGACUCCCUCUGUGCCGCAGUUAACACAUUAAGUAUUCCACCUGGGGAGUACGGCCGCAAGGUUGAAACUCAAAUGAAUUGACGGGG
rnacentral:rRNA from 1 species